UAGCCCACAUGUUAGUUGAGGAACAACUUCAGAUGGUCAUUUAGAUUCUACACUCAGCCCUUGGAACACACCCAUCUUUGUAAUUAAGAAAAAAUCUGGUAACUGGAAAUUAUUACAAGACCUUAGAGCUGUUAAUCAUGUUAUAGAGCCCAUGGGAGCAUUACAAUCUGAGCUUCCUUCUCCUACAGCCAUUCCUUUAGAUUAUUAUUUGAUAGUAGUAGAUCUAAAAGAUUUUUUUCUCUAUACCUUUGCACCCAGAUGACUGUAAAAAGCUUGCCUUUAG
rnacentral:sRNA from 1 species